AUUGAACGCUGGCGGCAGGCCUAACACAUGCAAGUCGAGCGGGGUUUUCGGACCUAGCGGCGGACGGGUGAGUAAUGCGUAGGAAGCUGCCCGAUAGAGGGGGAUACCAGCUGGAAACGACUGUUAAUACCGCAUAAUGUCUACGGACCAAAGUGUGGGACCUUCGGGCCACAUGCUAUCGGAUGCGCCUACGUGGGAUUAGCUAGUUGGUGAGGUAAUGGCUCACCAAGUCGACGAUCUCUAGCUGGUUUGAGAGGAUGAUAAGCCACACUGGAACUGAGACACGGUCCAGACUCCUACGGGAGGCAGCAGUGGGGAAUAUUGGACAAUGGGCGCAGGCCUGAUCCAGCCAUGCCGCGUGUGUGAAGAAGGCCUUCGGGUUGUAAAGCACUUUCAGCGAGGAGGAAGGGGUGUGUGUUAAUAGUACACACCUUUGACGUUACUCGCAGAAGAAGCACCGGCUAACUCUGUGCCAGCCGCCGCGGUAACAC
rnacentral:rRNA from 1 species